rnacentral:rRNA from 1 species
GACGAACGCUGGCGGCGCGCCUAACACAUGCAAGUCGAACGGAGCCAAGAGGAGCUUGCUCUUCUUGACUUAGUGGCGUAUGGGUGAGUAACGCGUGAGUAACUUGCCCUGGAGUGGGGGACAACAGAUGGAAAGGACUGCUAAUACAGCAUAUGCUCAUGGAUCCGCAUGGCUCUGCGGCACAUGGAUUUAUUCGCUUCAGGAUGGACUCGCGUCCAAUUAGCUAGUUGGUGAGGUAACGGCCCACCAAGGCGACGAUUGGUAGCCGGACUGAGAGGGUGAACGGCCACAUUGGGACUGAGACACGGCCCAGACUCCUACGGGAGGCAGCAGUGGGGGAUAUUGCACAAUGGGGGAAACCCUGAUGCAGCGACGCCGCGUGGAGGAAGAAGGUUUUCGGAUUGUAAACUCCUAUCGUUAGGGACGAUAAUGACGGUACCUAACAAGAAAGCACCGGCUAACUACGUG